rnacentral:misc_RNA from 1 species
AAAAAAAAUAAAAAAAAAAAAGGAAGAAGAAGAGAAGUGACCAUCGCAGACCUAGACGAGCAAGGACUGAAAGAAGAAGAAGAAGAAGAUCAAACCUGGCUUACUGCUCUGCUUCCCAGUGAUGCAGGUAUUUAUUUUUUUAUUUUUUAUUUUUCUUCUUCCUUCUUCUGAUCUUCUCUUGCCAGCCCAACUGGGUUUCUUUUCUUUUCUAUACUUUCUUUACCUGAAUUCAUGUGUCAUGCUGUCCUUUUUUUCUUGCCCACAUACUAUUUUGUUUGGUUGCCGACAACAAUGCUUCUGUGCUAUUGCUAAUUCUUUUGCAUGCAUGCCAAUUUUUUAAACAAAUUUUAAAAAUUUUGCACAAACUAUUAUUGUUUUACCUGUUUAAGACUGUUAAAAAUUUUAAAUUGUUAUUUUUUACAGAAAAUUUUUUAAUUGCUGUCAUUGAAUGGUAAUAUUCAGAUCUGCUAAUUCUAAUUUGGAAAACUUAUAAUAAAAAUAAUUAAGAUGAAACAAUUGUAUGAUUUAUCUACUUAACUACUUUGUCACAAUAGUGAUUACACAUAAUUUUAUAUCCUUUAUUUCAUUUACAUAACUUAUCCACAACGUAUCCUAGUAGCCGUGUCUAAAUUUCGAUCCAUAUCCCCCUAUUUAGAAAGUUUACAAAUCUAACACAUGGAUCCAUUUCCGAUAUCCAUACCUAAGUGUGAGUAACAUCGAUAAAAGUCUACAAAAUACCUAGAGAAUAUACAAAUUUAUAGUAGAAUUUAAUCCUACUAGUAUUAGGAUUUGGAAUCCCAAACAAGAAAAUUACUAAUUACGAAAAUUAAACAAAUUCAAACUUCUGAAACAAAAGACACACUACUUCCUAAAUUUCUUCCU